CCCCUAGAAGAUGAAGAACUGGUGGAAUACAUCAUCACCGGUCUAGGCGAAGAUUUCUCGUCGAUCGUCUCCGCUCUAUGUGCUAGAGUGGAACCCAUCUCAGUUGGUGAGCUCUACUCUCAACUCCUUAAUUUCGAAA